UGCGUAGGCGGUUUGGUAAGUCUUGUGUGAAAUCUCCAGGCUCAACUUGGAGUCUGCACGAGAAACUGCCGGGCUUGAGUAUGGGAGAGGUGAGUGGAAUUUCCGGUGUAGCGGUGAAAUGCGUAGAUAUCGGAAGGAACACCUGUGGCGAAAGCGGCUCACUGGACCAUAACUGACGCUGAUGCACGAAAGCUAGGGGAGCAAACAGGAUUAGAUACCCUGGUAGUCCUAGCCCUAAACGAUGACUGCUUGGUGUGACGGGUACCCAAUCCCGCCGUGCCGUAGCUAACGCGUUAAGCAGUCCGCCUGGGGAGUACGGUCGCAAGGCUGAA
rnacentral:rRNA from 1 species